rnacentral:lncRNA from 7 species
UUUUGAUGACAGGGCUUAGGAUCAUUAGGCAUGGAAUAAAACCCCAUUGGCAUCCAGACAAACAGAGAAAAAGAAAGUAUAAAAUGCUCUUUUGACUUGCACAUGUUAUAAAAGAUCUUGCAGUCUUUAGAAAGCUACUGGGAUCACUAAUCAACUGGUUAAUGGACCAAAAGCUGAUGAAAGAAAACAUCAAUUUCUUGUACUUCUUUCUGUAUGCUACCUCCCUCCUAGGAACUAAUCAGCUACAGAUGUCAAAGACUGCAAGGCAUACCCUCCUAAACUUCAAGGUCACAUAAUACAGCAUUUCUGAGGAUCCUCAUUAAGUACUCUGGAUUAUUAAAGUGGAAAUACACUUUGUUGUAGAAGUGAUGGAAAAAGCUGCAAGGAGGAUCUCGUUUGUGGAUUUCAGUUCUUGGAGCAAGAGAACUGUCCUGAGAGAUUAGCAACAUUUCCCUUUGAAAUUGUUGAGUUUCUUUUAAUAUUCUGUUUGUAUUUUACAUUGUGUUUGGAUAUAUUGUGUUAAAUAUACAC